rnacentral:lncRNA from 1 species
AGCGGCAUACCAUUAUUUUUUGUUUACAUAAAUAAAUUAAAUAAAUUUUUCAGAAAGGAAAUUGACUUCUUCGUGUACAUACAUUUUCGGUAUUAGUUUUUAAAUAUCAUUGGUUUUCUGUGCUGAAAUAAAAAAUCGGAUCCGGACCAAAUCGUGGAUGAUGCAUGAUAAUAAAAUUUUAAUUGACAUACAUGAUACUAGUAACACCAAAAGGGUCAGUCGUCUUGAGAUUGCUCACUACACGAUAUUUGUUGAAGAUCUCAAAGAAACAGUAAUGUGUUUUAUUUCUUAUUAUGUUAUUAGACUGUUAUCCUGGUAGAAUCAAAUGCACUGACUAAUAUUAAUGGCGUAGAAAUUAGCAUGCGGGAGAAACAGAAAUUGGAGCAUGGAAAUUCCACAUUACGUUUCGUAUUACGGAAAAUGACACACAUUACGUCCCGCAAAAAGUGACGUUUUGCGGGAAUUCAAACGCUUAACGUCGCGCCAAGAGUUAACUCCCUUGAAACUGUAUCGGAUGCCCUUAAG